rnacentral:misc_RNA from 1 species
UGUGGGAGCGAGCCUGCUCGCGAUAGCGAUGAGUCAGUUGCAUGAGUGUUUACUGACCCACCGCCAUCGCGAGCAGGCUCGCUCCCACA